GUUAUGGUAGCAAAGGGGUACUGCUUUAGAUUUAGGAUCUACUAUCGAGGGUUCGAGUCCCUCCCUUAAUU
rnacentral:tRNA from 1 species